rnacentral:rRNA from 1 species
CCUACGGGGCGCUGCAGUCGAGAAUCAUUCACAAUGGGGGAAACCCUGAUGGUGCGACGCCGCGUGGGGGAAUGAAGGUCUUCGGAUUGUAAACCCCUGUCAUGUGGGAGCAAAUUAAAAAGAUAGUACCACAAGAGGAAGAGACGGCUAACUCUGUGCCAGCAGCCGCGGUAAUACAGAGGUCUCAAGCGUUGUUCGGAAUCACUGGGCGUAAGGCGUGCGUAGGCUGUUUCGUAAGUCGUGUGUGAAAGGCGCGGGCUCAACCCGCGGACGGCACAUGAUACUGCGAGACUAGAGUAAUGGAGGGGGAACCGGAAUUCUCGGUGUAGCAGUGAAAUGCGUAGAUAUCGAGAGGAACACUCGUGGCGAAGGCGGGUUCCUGGACAUUAACUGACGCUGAGGCACGAAGGCCAGGGGAGCGAAAGGGAUUAGAUACCCUAGUAGUC